rnacentral:rRNA from 1 species
UACGUAGGGUGCAAGCGUUGUCCGGAAUUAUUGGGCGUAAAGAGCUCGUAGGCGGUUUGUUGCGUCGGCUGUGAAAUCCCGAGGCUCAACCUCGGGUCUGCAGUCGAUACGAGCAAACUAGAGUGUUGCAGGGGAGACUGGAAUUCCUGGUGUAGCGGUGAAAUGCGCAGAUAUCAGGAGGAACACCUGCGGCGAAGGCGGGUUGCUGGGCUGACACUGACGCUGAUGCGCGAAAGCUAGGGGAGCGAACGGG